rnacentral:rRNA from 1 species
UCAGGACGAACGCGGCGGCGUGCUUAACACAUGCAAGUCGAACGAUGAACCACUUCGGUGGGGAUUAGUGGCGAACGGGUGAGUAACACGUGGGCAAUCUGCCCUUCACUCUGGGACAAGCCCUGGAAACGGGGUCUAAUACCGGAUAUGAGCCUGGGAGGCAUCUCCCGGGUUGUAAAGCUCCGGCGGUGAAGGAUGAGCCCGCGGCCUAUCAGCUUGUUGGUGAGGUAACGGCUCACCAAGGCGACGACGGGUAGCCGGCCUGAGAGGGCGACCGGCCACACUGGGACUGAGACACGGCCCAGACUCCUACGGGAGGCAGCAGUGGGGAAUAUUGCACAAUGGGCGCAAGCCUGAUGCAGCGACGCCGCGUGAGGGAUGACGGCCUUCGGGUUGUAAACCUCUUUCAGCAGGGAAGAAGCGCAAGUGACGGUACCUGCAGAAGAAGCGCCGGCUAACUACGUGCCAGCAGCCGCGGUAAUACGUAGGGCGCAAGCGUUGUCCGGAAUUAUUGGGCGUAAAGAGCUCGUAGGCGGCUUGUCACGUCGGGUGUGAAAGCCCGGGGCUUAACCCCGGGUCUGCAUUCGAUACGGGCUGGCUAGAGUGUGGUAGGGGAGAUCGGAAUUCCUGGUGUAGCGGUGAAAUGCGCAGAUAUCAGGAGGAACACCGGUGGCGAAGGCGGAUCUCUGGGCCAUUACUGAC